rnacentral:misc_RNA from 1 species
CCUAGAGUUGUAGGCUUUGCCUGCUAUCUCUUACCCAUGUCUUUUGAGUACCUUACGUUUCCUCGGUGGGUUCGCCCACCGAUUGGACAAACUUUAAACCCUUUGCAGUUGAAAUCAGCGUCUGAAAAAACUUAAUAGUUA